GUUUUUAAAAUGAAAUGAAUAAAUACUAUAAACUAAAAAAAUGAUCUGUGACAGAACGGAGGGUAGAAUUUAUAAACCGACACGUUUUAUUAUGUAGGCCGAAAUUGAAAGACCAGCAUCCGCCACUGGUUGAAGUAGUGCUACUCUUACUUGAAUACAAUUUUUGGGUACUCUACCCACCUGAGUUUAUUUAUUACUGCAGGUGAGGAAAUGAUUUGAUGUAAAAAAUGAACUGUCUUUCAAUUUCAAAAGUUUUUUUCAUAAAAUAACAAUUUCUGCUACUUGGCUUUAACAAAAAUAAGUUCUGGGUUAAAUUGUUGUUUCUUUUGCUCAGAUAUGGACAAAGACAAAAAACAGAUGAGGAGGGAAGACGAGACUGAACUGACACCUCUCCACACAAAAGAUAGAGAUUUUGUGUCAACAUCAGUUUAAGAUUAUUUAUAAAAUCACUCAAGGUCAUGACUUUGCAUUGGCCCUGACCCUUUACCCUCAACCUAACCCCCUGACUCACCAACGAGGGUUUUCCUUUGUGUGGACCAGGCAAAUGUCCACACAAUGACAAAAAGUCCACAUUAGCAUACUAUGUCCACAUAAAAAAUAAAAAGAUGACCUUUAMUCAAUAAUUAACUGAGGUCAAAUGUAACGUGGCCACCACAGCCAACUGACCUUAGAAAGCACAAACGUUGGUAAGGUUUGACCAAAACAGCCACAAUGCAACAAGAGACAAUCUUAGUCUAAAAGAAGCCAUAAAAGGCAACGGGUGACRUGCACUCCUCCAAGGAGCACUACGACUAAUUCAUGACUGAAUUCUUUACUGGUUACUUUUUAAUUAUGAUGGUGAUCAUUUAUUUUCACACACAAAGAUCCAAACAUGUUUCAGCUACAGUCCAUGGUAACAUCCGAUGGUUUGCUCACCCAGAUCUUGCUGGCUUUGCUGACAAAGGAGAGAGGCGACAGGUGGUGCACUGCUGAGAACAAAACAGGAGGCUCAGGAGCUGAGGGCCCUGCUGAGAACCUCUGAGGGAGGAGMUCCAGAAGCUGGAGAACUCCCAGUGACACAGACUGGGAAGUUCCAAUCAGAACAGAGGGUUUUGUUGCUCAUUCAAGACAAACGACUGACAGGACGGCUCAGACUGUCAGGAUUAGAGGUGAUGUUAAAAUGUAAAUAAUGUUUUUGUAUACACAUAGUGUGACUGCUGCACCUGCAGACACACAGUAAAUAAAGGUUGUGUCACUAUUUUA